rnacentral:rRNA from 1 species
UACGUAGGGGGCAAGCGUUGUCCGGAAUCAUUGGGCGUAAAGCGCGUGUAGGCGGCCAGGUAAGUCCGUUCUGAAAGCCCGGGGCUCAACCCCGGGAGGCGGAUGGAUACUGCUUGGCUCGAGUCCGGAAGAGGCGAGUGGAAUUCCCGGUGUAGCGGUGAAAUGCGCAGAUAUCGGGAGGAACACCGAUGGCGAAGGCAGCCCCCUGGGAUAACACUGACGCUCAUGCACGAAAGCGUGGGGAGCAAACAGG